rnacentral:lncRNA from 1 species
UUGACCCACAAUGCGACAGGACUUAAUCCAUUCCUGGCAGUGGAGACUUCAUUAGGUGACAAGUGAUGUCCAUCCUGGGGUCUGUCUCCCUGUUAUUCCAUGUAUAUAUUUUAAGGAGCUUCUAUUGUAUUAGGUGUCUAUACAACCCCUUAAAUGGGCCCUAGUUUUAGCUGUCCGUCCCUGUAUUUCCUCCCCUCUUCCCCAUCCCUCCCCUUUCCUGCUUGAUCCUCUUCCAGUCCAUCCCUUAUUCGUCUGUGACUGUGUAUUCCAUUUCCCGUCUUAGGGUGACUCAGCACAGCCCGCUCAUCCCCUGUUCUACACAGAUCUUCUGUGGCAACAUGGAUUGUAGCUUACUUAUAGUUACUUAUAGCUGACACCAACACAUGUCAUAUUUGUCUUUCUGGGUCUGGGGUACCUCACUUAGGAUGAUUUUUUUCUAGCUUCAUACAUUUACCUGUGAAUUUCAUGAUUUCAUUUUUUUAUAAACAACUGAGUGAUAUUCCACUGUGUAAAUAUACCACGUUUUCUUCAUUCAUUCACAGACAGACAUCUAGGUUGUACCUUGCUAUUAUGAAUAGAGCAGCAAUGAGCACGGUUGAGCAACUGUCCUUGUAGUAGGAUGAAGCCUUCUUUGGGUAUAUCUUAGAGUGGUAUAGUUGCGUCUGGAGGUAGGUCUAGUCUAGCUCGCCAAGGAACUGCUACGCUGAUUUCCAUAGUAGCUGCAUAAGUUUGCACCGCACUGCCCCCCCCCCCCAAGCAAUGGAUGAGUGUUCCCCUUACUCCAUAGCCUCUCCAGUAUGAGCCGUCAAUUCUUUUAUUGAUUGGCCAUUCUGAUUGUUCACCUUACAUUUCCAGGUAGUGUCUCUCGCCGAGUCAGCAAAGCUUUCUGCAGCAGUCACUCAGGGCCACCCUGUCCCUGCCUUCCCACUGCUGGGUCACCAGCACGCACCGCUGCGCUAGCAUCAUGUGCCAGCAUGUGCCUCUCUCUGAGGAAUGCCAUGCAGCCACAGUUAGAUUACAGAUUGAUUUCUUUUUCCCCUUAAAACCCGUUCAGCCAGCCCUGUGAUUCCCGACAUGCUUCCCGUGCUAACGAGGCAGGCAUUCCAGGAACCCUAAGCCCCCAGCCCAUGGCCUUUGCCCACCCUGGAUAUUUCAAGGAUAAUACACCCUGUUGUAUUUCAAGGUUAAUGGCUAAAAAGCUGUCUAUUGACUGGUACAGAGCAGGUUCUCUCAUGGGUGUCAAGGCUCCACAUGUUAAUGUACUUGUUACAACCUUUAGAUCCUCUGUAGAUCCACCAAAAUGAAAGUAGCCUCAAUAGUUGGCUUUAUCAGAGGCAGCCUGGUUUAUGUAGUGAGAUACUCUCUCUGACAAACAAAACAGUAGCUGUGGUGGUGGGUUUUUUGUUUUGUUUUAUUUAAAAUUUACAAAAUAUUAUGUACAUGUGUGUGUGUUAUUUGUGUCAUGUGUCAUGUAUGUGGGGAUUACAGUAGAGACUAGAAGAGAGAGUCAGGCUCCUACUUUCCCAAGUUGGAAUUACAGGCAGUUGUUAGCUAUCUGUGUGCCAAAAAUCAAACUCAGGUCCUCCUUUGUGGUACUCAUAACUGCUGAGCCAUCUCUCUUGCCUGUCCUAUUUCCUUUUACACUAAAUAAGUUUCUAAAUCCUAGAAGAUAGAAGUUGAAGCAGGAUGUUUAAAGUGUUUAUAGGCUCACUAGGUGUAUAGCCAUUUGGACAUUUCUCUGGGGGAUUCCGAUGUGCAUUGGGGUUGUAUUCUAUGUUGUGUUUGUUUAUUCCCACGUGAGCAUGAUAGGCUUUGAAGGAGCCGGCUCUGGUGCGUGCAGUCUUGCUGUCCUCAGGCUGACUACUGGUCUCUGUUUUUCAGUGGACGAGUACAUCGCUAUCGCCAAAGAGAAGCACGGGUACAACAUGGAGCAGGUAACAGUUCAUUUCUUGUUGUGGAAAGCAGAGCUUGCCAUGGACCCACCGGGUCAGUGUCUUCUGUGGGCUGUCAGUCUUUUUUUUUUUUUUUUUUUUUUAAAGAUUUAUUUAUUUAUUAUAUGUAAGUACACUGUAGUUGUCUUCAGACACUCCAGAAGAGGGCGUCAGAUCUUGUUACAGAUGGUUGUGAGCCACCAUGUGGUUGCUGGGAUUUGAACUCCGGACCUUCGGAAGAGCAGUCGGGUGCUCUUACCCACUGAGCCAUCUCACCAGCCCCCGGGCUGUCAGUCUUAUUGAGUGGGCAAAAGGCAGUAGCUGCUGACUAGUUUGGUUUUCUCAUUGGAAUGUGUAAUUGGUUUCUUGUCCUGUUGUGGAAUACCUUACAGUCCCUUAGGGUCUCUGACUGUAUAACGACUUAUGGGCGUAUCUCAGACUUGUUGCUUACAACACCCAACUGACUGGCUGAGUUGAGGUACAGGCUUAGAGUUCUCGUGUGAGCUUUUGCCUAUAGAUGAGCUUCCCACAGCUGUACUCACAGAGUUUCUUUCCACUGCAAGCGCUUCUGUAUGAUAGUGACCUGGAGACAAGCGUCUAGCUGUUCUCAGCCAUCCUGUUUCUGCCUUGGCUGUUUGGCUGUCCUUCCCUCCUGUCAUAGCCUUAGGAACAGAGUCAGCCCACCCCAGACAAGGAGCCUGUAAAACGCCUUAAGAGGAACAUAUUUGAGUCUAAAAUGGGAGGAAGAACGGAGGAACCGCACACAAACUCACUUCUAGAGCUGGUUUCUCAGUGAGUUGAAACAAAUACC